GCAACGGAUAUCUCGGCUCUCGCAUCGAUGAAGAACGUAGCAAAAUGCGAUACUUGGUGUGAAUUGCAGAAUCCCGCGAAUCAUCGAGUCUUUGAACGCAAGUUGCGCCCGAAGCCUUUAGGCCGAGGGCMCGUCUGCCUGGGSGUCAUGCMYUGYG
rnacentral:rRNA from 1 species